UAGGUACGGGGUUAGGGAUGGUGUUAGGUAGGGGGGAUAGGUACAGGGUUAGGGGUGGUGUUAGGUACGGGGUUAGGGAUGGUGUUAGGUAGGGGGGAUAGGUACGGGGAUAGGGAUGGUGUUAGGUACGGGGUUAGGGAUGGUGUUAGGUAGGGGGGAUAGGUACGGGGAUAGGGAUGGUGUUAGGUACGGGGUUAGGGAUGGUGUUAGGUAGGGGGGAUAGGUACGGGGAUAGGGAUGGUGUUAGGUACGGGGUUAGGGAUGGUGUUAGGUAGGGGGGAUAGGUACGGGGAUAGGGAUGGUGUUAGGUACGGGGUUAGGGAUGGUGUUAGGUAGGGGGGAUAGGUACGGGGUUAGGCAUGGUGGUGCUCAUGUCAACUUCCUUUCUUUUUUGGAUUUAGACCAACGCCGUUUAAAACUUAAAUGUAGUUUUUUGUUUGUAAUAGGGAGCCAUUUGGGUCUAAAUUAGUGCACUAUAUAGGGAAUAGGGAGCCAUUUGGGUCUAAAUUAGUGCACUAUAUAGGGAAUAGGGAGCCAUUUGGGUCUAAAUUAGUGCACUAUAUAGGGAAUAGGGGGCCAUUUGGGUCUAAAUUAGUGCACUAUAUAGGGAAUAGGGAGCCAUUUGGGUCUAAAUUAGUGCACUAUAUAGGGAAUAGGGAGCCAUUUGGGUCUAAAUUAGUGCACUAUAUAGGGAAUAGGGAGCCAUUUGGGUCUAAAUUAGUGCACUAUAUAGGGAAUAGGGAGCCAUUU